rnacentral:sRNA from 1 species
CAAUGGCUCUUGAUCCUUUAACGUCCCCAUUACCUUCGCCGUCACAACGUCCGUCUCCAGCGUCACGUCUUCUCCGUCAUUUUGAAC